AACGAACGCUGGCGGCAGGCCUAACACAUGCAAGUCGAACGGGUGUAGCAAUACAUCAGUGGCGCACGGGUGAGUAACGCGUGGGAACGUGCCCUUCACUACGGGACAACGUCGGGAAACUGACGCUAAUACCGUAUAAUGUCUCCGGACCAAAGAUUUAUCGGUGAAGGAUCGGCCCGCGUCUGAUUAGCUAGUUGGUGAGGUAAAAGCUCACCAAGGCGACGAUCAGUAGCUGGUUUGAGAGAAUGAUCAGCCACACUGGGACUGAGACACGGCCCAGACUCCUACGGGAGGCAGCAGUGAAGAAUCUUUGACAAUGGGCGCAAGCCUGAUCCAGCCAUGCCGCGUGAGUGAUGAAGGCCUUAGGGUUGUAAAGCUCUUUUGCCGGGGAUGAUAAUGACCGUACCCGGAGAAUAAGCCACGGCUAAAUUCGUGCCAGCCGCCGCAGUAA
rnacentral:rRNA from 1 species